rnacentral:misc_RNA from 1 species
AAUUAAUGUAUUUAAAACCUUAUAAUGCAUUUCGUUUUGAUUGCGUUUUAAUAUCGCAAAUCACAGUGAGUGAUCCGUGAAGAAAUUUAAUAACCUAUAAAGUUACGCGGGUCAAGAGCCUAUCUGAGGCAUUAUAACGACAACUAUACACUAAUCCGCCGGGGUUUCGAGCUUCUUUAUUUUAUAGUUGAUAUUAGAAGUAAAAAAGGUAUGAUCGUUUUAGUAUUAAGAAUUACUGGGAUUAUCCCUUAAGACGAAAUCAUGGUGGAGAGUUGGCCUGUAUUUGAGAAGGGUCAGGGCUAUAUACGAUCAGUGAGGACCGCCCUAGUCUGUAGUGGAGCCCUCGCUGAUGCUAGCAACAGAGAACAGAAACAGAUACACACCUGGGGAGGAUUUUCUUUUAAAAAAGUUUUUAUGUCGCUUAAUUUGGAGUUAUUGACUUAACGAAAACAAGACUUCUGAAGUUUUUGUAUGAAAAUUCUACGGCGAAAGAACAGCACUUCCGGAUAUUUAAUAGCAUUGUGUUUAAGUGAGACAGGUAUUUUGUUGCGAAUAAUUACUUUCGACAGAAAUGUUAAUAGUCAAUGAAGACUGCGGAGUGAUUAUAAUGGACCUUUAUGUGUAUUGAAUUCCAGCGAUCGCUAUUUACCUGACAGCGGCUGUGGACCAUUGUGUGCACAGGUAGCAAAACCGUUUGCAAAUUAAACAGACUCGGUGCUUCCAUGGUGUUGAUCCAGCGAGUUGGUAUACUAAAGUUAGAGUAGUGUUGAACUUCGACCAUACUACGAAGAUAGAGGCUACACGGGGAACAUUUUAUCACUGACACAAGAUAACCAGCGCCCUUAGCAUGUCCCGCAGGCUGUCUAACUUCCCGCGGAGUGACGCCUCCACGCCGGGCCGGAAGGCGAGGGGGUCCAUAGCGGCAGCAAAGUUCUACCACACCAAGACAGGGUCCGGACAAAUCAACGAUCCUGGGGGAGCAUUGGAGAUCACUUCUCUUGGUGAGCGCUCAAACGACAUGCCGAAAAAGUCAUACCGGAUAGAGAAUACCUACAAACUGGAACCAGAUGAGGACAAGGUUUUCCGAGUUUGUGAUGUCGAGAAACUUGCUGAAGGCGUGUUAGCGGAGCACUUGUCUAAGGUUGAGUACGAUCCAGUAACGUGUCGUGACGUCAGCCAGACAGUCGCCAUUGACAUCCUUGAGAGAGUGAAGCAGAUGGGAUUCAAGCGGUACAAGAUCAUCACCAACGUCAGCAUCGGGUCUCUCCGGGAAAAGCCCGGCAUGCAGUUCGGGAGCCGGUGUCUGUGGAACAAGAACACGGACAACUUCGUCAGUGUGAAAUACUCUAACACCUCUAUAUUCGCCGUGGCCAUGAUCUAUGGUCUGUAUUUUGAGUAAUGUAUUCAGACGGUGCAUCUUGUCAGUGUACGCCUUGAUUUAACAAUCACACUGCCAGAUCUAUCUUGCCAAAUGGACUCCAAUCACGUGCUCUUACUAUUAUUCCAAAGUGUUUUGUGUAGUGUCUGCAUGUAUAUGAUGGGUUUUUUUUUUGAUUUGCUAGUGUUUUUGUACAACGCCAAAAAUUCUUGUUGAAUCAUUAGACAAUGGUUCAAUAAUAAACAUGUAUACAUUC